ACCUUAAGUUACUGGUUAAGAUAUUAUGAUGUUGCUGCUGGAAGACUGAUUUUAAGUCUCUCCACCAAGGAGAGAUGUGAGCACUGUUUUUAUCAUAUAGUAAAGCAUGCCAACCUCCAUAUUUGGACAAUAAGAUUCUUGCCCAAAGCUGAUGCUGAUUAUUCACCAGGUUCCAGCCCCAUUUGCCAAGUAAGGCUAUAUUAAACUUGUUCAAGUCUUUAAUUCCUAGCCCCCCUCUGCUCUUAGGAAGACAAACAAUGUCCCAUUUAACC
rnacentral:misc_RNA from 1 species